rnacentral:rRNA from 1 species
GAUGAACGCUGGCGGCGUGCCUAACACAUGCAAGUCGAGCGAACAGACGAGGAGCUCUCUCCCCUGCCGUUAGCGACGGACGGGUGAGUAACACGUGGAUCACCUACAUAUUAGUCUUGGAUAAUUACGGGAAACCGGAUACAACAACGGCUCAUAUAUACAACCGGAUGGUUCAAUAGAGAUAGAGGGCUUUGCUGAUACUAAUACAUGGAUCCGCGCCGGAUUAGCUAGUUGGUAAGGUAACGGCUUACCAAGGCAACGAUGCGUAGCCGACCUGAGAGGGUGAUCGGCCACACUGGAACUGAGACACGGUCCAGACUCCUACGGGAGGCAGCAGUAGGGAAUCUUCCGCAAUGGGCGAAAGCUUGACGGAGCAACGCCGCGUGAGUGAUGAAGGUCUUCGGAUCGUAAAACUCUGUUAUUAGGGAAGAACAAAUGUGUAAGUAACUAUGCACGUCUUGACGGUACCUAAUCAGAAAGCCACGGCUAACUACGUG